UACAGAGGUGGCAAGCGUUGUUCGGAAUUACUGGGCGUAAAGGGCGCGUAGGCGGCCUACUAAGUCAGACGUGAAAUCCCCCGGCUCAACCGGGGAACUGCGUCCGAUACUGGUGGGCUCGAAUCCGGGAGAGGGAUGUGGAAUUCCAGGUGUAGCGGUGAAAUGCGUAGAUAUUUGGAGGAACACCGGUGGCGAAGGCGGCAUCCUGGACCGGUAUUGACGCUGAGGCGCGAAAGCCAGGGGAGCAAACGGG
rnacentral:rRNA from 1 species